rnacentral:rRNA from 1 species
UACGUAGGGGGCAAGCGUUGUCCGGAUUUACUGGGCGUAAAGAGCGUGUAGGCGGCCAAACAGGUCCGUUGUGAAAACUGGAGGCUCAACUUCCAGACGUCGACGGAAACCGUGUGGCUAGAGUCCGGAAGAGGAGAAUGGAAUUCCCGGUGUAGCGGUGAAAUGCGCAGAUAUCGGGAAGAACACCCGUGGCGAAGGCGGUUCUCUGGGACGGUACUGACGCUGAGACGCGAAAGCGUGGGUAGCAAACGGG